rnacentral:rRNA from 1 species
GAUGAACGCUGGCGGCGUGCCUAAUACAUGCGAGUCGAGCGAACAGACGAGGAGCUUGCUCCUCUGCCGUUAGCGGCGGACGGGUGAGUAACACGUGGAUAACCUACCUAUUAGACUUGGAUAACUUCGGGAAACCGGAGAUACUACCGGCUCAUAUAUUGAACCGCAUGGUUCAAUAGUGAUUGACGGCUUUGGCGUUUCUUUUAGCUGGAUUCGCGUCGCAUUAGCUAGUUGGUAAGGUAACGGCUUACCAAGGCGACGAUGCGUAGCCGACCUGAGAGGGUGAUCGGCCACACUGGAACUGAGACACGGUCCAGACUCCUACGGGAGGCAGCAGUAGGGAAUCUUCCGCAAUGGGCGAAAGCCUGACGGAGCAACACCGCGUGAGUGAUGAAGGUCUUCGGAUCGUAAAGCUCUGUUAUUGGGGAAGAACAAAUGUGUAAGUAACUAUGCACGUCUUGACGGUACCUAAUCAGAAAGCCACGGCUAACUACGUG